rnacentral:rRNA from 1 species
GGCGGUUCGCCGCCGACGACGUCGCGAGAAGUCCACUGAACCUUAUCAUUUAGAGGAAGGAGAAGUCGUAACAAGGUUUCCGUAGGUGAACCUGCGGAAGGAUCAUUGUCAAAACCUUGUACUGGUAUGACCCGCGAACAAGUUUAGUCACUGCGGAUGGUGCCUUGUGCACUUGAAGCCAGGCCACGCGGGGUGCUAUGCUCCUUGCGGAGGCCACAUAAACCAACCCCGGCGCGGAAUGCGCCAAGGAAAACGAAUCUAAAAGAGAGAACUCUACGUUCGCCUCGGAAACGAUGUGUGCAUGUAGUUGAAUCUCCUUUCAUAACCAAAACGACUCUCGGCAACGGAUAUCUCGGCUCUCGCAUCGAUGAAGAACGUAGCGAAAUGCGAUACUUGGUGUGAAUUGCAGAAUCCCGUGAACCAUCGAGUCUUUGAACGCAAGUUGCGCCCAAAGCCUUCGGGUCGAGGGCACGUCUGCCUGGGUGUCACGCAACGUCGCUCCCUCACUUCCCUCUUGUGGGGCUCGUGAAUUGGGAGCGGAAAAUGGCUUCCCAUAAACUUCUGAAAUUGUGGUUGGCCCAAACAUGAGACCAGGUCGGUUAGUGCCGUGGCAUUCGGUGGUUGAAAAUACCCUAAAAACAGCCUUGUUCAUUUGGCCGAACCAGCACGGAUCUCAACGACCCUUUAUGUAUCUGACGCGACCCCAGGUCAGACGGGAUUACCCGCUGAGUUUAAGCAUAUCAAUAAGCGGAGAAAAGAAACUUCAAGAUUCCU